GGUUGUAAAUGAAUAAAAAGUGAGAUAGAUUUUUUACGCCCUUCUAAGGCGUGGGUCGAGCGUUCGAAUCGCUCCGGAAUCA
rnacentral:tRNA from 1 species